CUGGCGAGAUGGUAAAUUGAUACACAUUAUUACAGCUCAAAAUUACCUGUUGGAAACAAUUCUGAUAAUAACAAGAAUGUGUAAUAUGUCUCGGUAACAACCUUAAUAUGGUGUUUUAGUAUGUAAUCACUUAAUUGGGCGAGAGUUAUGCAUAUGUAGCUAGUUGACAGCUUUUUCUGUUUGGUAUGUCUGACAUCACACGGCGCCAAGAACUACGCGGGCACAACUGUGAGCUCCAAAUACGUUCACUUUUAAAAUGGGAUGCAAGCAGGUCAAGCAAGACAGUUCAUUCUAGCGAUUCAGUGAACCGUUCAUUUUCCACCGGUUUUAUUUUCUGUCUACAGAGGAAAUUAAAUGAAUAGGAUAUUUAUCUAAAUGUUUUCCUGGUGGAGGAAAUCCACAGUAAGAUUCAACGCUGACUUCUGGAAUAACAACGAAGAGCUACCUCCACUGCAUGUUCUGUCAGUUCCUCCACAUCACCUUCCUCAAACUAUGCACUGGAAUCCAGUGGCUGUUUAACACCCCUGUUGAAAGUUAUCUGGGUCUGGACCCCACCCUCUGAAACUAGAUCCUGGACUUCCUGACCAGCAGACCACAGGCUGUGAGGAUUGGCAACAACACCUCCUCCACACGGACUCUUAACACAUGGGCCCCCAGGUCCUCAGUCCUAUGCUGAAUGCCCUGUUCACCCACGGCCACGUGGCUUUGCACGACACCAAUUCCAUCAAGUUUGCUGAUGACACCACGGUUGUAGGCCUGGUAACCAACAACGAUGAGUCCAUAUCAAUGAGACUGCAGUAGAGAAUCACGAGUUCUACAUGUUUAUGGAUGCACAUCACUGAGGACUUGUCGUGGACCAACCACCACUCUUGUCAAGAGGGCGGAACAGCGUCUCUACUCCCUAAGGUGGCGGAAGACAUUUGGCAUGACGCCCUGGGUCCUUUCCCACCCAACCCGGACAUCUACUCAAAAAGGGACACGAGGAAGGCAUGCAGCAUCAUCAAGGACCCCAUACAGACCCCAUACAAUCCUUUAAAGCAUCCUUCCAUCCUUCCGCAUUUUAGAUUAUAGUUUUUUCCCUCUCUUUCACGUAUCACUCUUUUUUCUUGUUUUUCCUUCACCCAUGAUUAUUUAUUAUUAAGCUCUAUGUUCAUGCCUGCCUGCUUCCAUGGCUUUUGCACUUUGUGUGGGAGUUGGAUGGCAUAUCUGUCACGUUCUGACCUUAGUUCCUUUUUUAUGUAUUCAUUUUAGUUGGUCAGGGCGUGAGUUGGGGUGGGCAUUCUAUGUUGUUUUUCUAUGUUUUGUUCUGUUGUUAUAUUUCUAUGUGUUUGGCCUAGUAUGGUUCUCAAUCAGAGGCAGGUGUCAGUCGUUGUCUCUGAUUGGGAGCCAUAUUUAGGGAGCCUGUUUUCUAUUGUGUUUUGUGGGUGGUUGUAUCCUGUGUUAGUGGUUUCACCAUACGGGACUUCUGUUUGUUUUGGUCAGUGGUCUGUUGAUUUAUUAAAUAUAUCAUUAUGGACACUUACCACGCUGCACAUUGGUCUGAUCCUUGCUGCUCCUCCUCUGAAGAAGAGGAAUUUCGUUACAGAACCACCCACCAGAAAAGGAACAAGCAGUGUGGUAACGGGCAGCAGAAAUCUCAAGACUCAUGGAGAUUUUGGAAGGCAAGGCACCCUGGGCACAGGCUGGGGAAUAUCGCCGCCCCAAGGCAGAGAUGGAGGCAGCUAAAGCUGAGCGGCGGUGGUGUGAGGAGUGCGGCUGGGACGAGAGGCAGCCCAAAAACUUAUUGGGGGGGGCACACGGGGAGUGUGGCUAAGUCAGGUAGGAGACUUCAGCCAACUCCCCAUGCUUAUCGUGGAGAGAGGUGGACCAGGCAGACACCGUGUUAUGCCGUGAGGCACACGCAUAUUGCACCGGUGCGCAGGCAUAGCCCGGUGCGUUACAGCACAGCGCCUCGCAUCGGCCGGGCUAGAGUGGGCAUCGAGCCAGGUGCCAUGAAGCCGGCUCAGCGCAUUUGGUCUCCAGUGCGUCUCCUCGGGCCGGGGUACAUGGCACCAGCCCUACGCAUGGUGUCCCCGGUUCUCCAGCACAGCCACUGUUGGCUAAACAAUUUCGUAGUAAAGUCAAGUGCCAUCUCUUUCCCAUUGAUUAUAAUCUCCUGUUGUACAAAAAAAAAUGCAUAAAUUUUCCAGAGGCUCAGAGUUUGUCUUAUAUUUCCAGGUAGCUCCUUUCUUCUUAUGUCCUUCACUUCUAAAUUUUCCCGCCCCCUGUUUUCUUUUUUGUAUUGAUACAUUUUUAAAUGUUUUAUUCUGUUAGUAGAUUUUGAAAAGCUGUGUUAAUCAUUCUCCAAAUGAAUCAUGCAAAUUAGCAUUUUAUCAUUAGAGGUAGAAAGUAUUUCUGAAAUACUACUUGAAUUAUUACCGUAAAAUAUUAUUGUAAUAUUACACAUUCUUGCCAGUUACAUAUCUAGCCCUCCUUAUUAGUCUUCCUCACUGCUAAUAGAAUUAGUAGCAUAGCUAACUAAAUACCUAGCUGGACUAGCUGCAUUGGUCGUUUUGCACUAACUGUUUUGACUCAUCACAUAAGCUGCUGCUAUUGUUUAUUAUCUAUCCUGUUGUCUAGUCACUU